GCAUCGAUGAAGAACGCAGCCAAAUGCGAUAUCUAGUGCGAAUUGCAUGAAUCUGUGAGUCAUCUAGUAUUUGAACGCAACUUGCGCCGAUUUUUUGGCAUGUUCCGGUGAGGGCGGUAUACAUGUGAGUUUACUCGAUAUGGCUGUUGUGUAGGGGGCGCAAGCUCACUAGACUCGGUCUAAUAGGAGCAAGGAAAUGGAGGGUUCUAGGGAACCGAGUGCCAAGCGAGUGGCAAGCGAGUGGCAAGCGACUGCCAAGCAUUCUUGGGGCUCUAGACAAUCCAACUACACACACUAAACAACCUCACCUGGAGCAGGACUACCCGCUGAACUUAAGCAUAUCAAUAAGCGGAGGA
rnacentral:rRNA from 1 species